rnacentral:tRNA from 1 species
GCCCCGGUAGCUCAGCAGGAUAGAGCAACGGCCUCCUAAGCCGUAGGUCACAGGUUCGAAUCCUGUCCGGGGCG